UGUCAAGGCCGGGAGUCAUGAUCCAUGGAACUGCGAAAAAAUCUAAAACCCCUUUUUACGUUUUUACGAUUUAAUAACUUGACUUUGUGGUUGGAAAUUCAUUAUAUUAUCAGUCAGAUAAGUACUUCAACAAUGAGAAAAGGUUUUAAAAAUAUUGAGGACAGAAAAAGCAGCAGAAAGUGAAAGACUUGAAGAAAUAUAGGGAAUAAGACGCAAUCAUUUCAUGGCUAUACCAUGAGUAUGUAGCACUAUUUCAUAUCUAAGUACAGUAUUUAUCAAUUAAUGUUAGCAGGAAGGAAUAGAAGAGUUAUUUAAAUGGACAGUGGAUUUUGAUAUCAUGAAACCCAAUGUUGAAAAGCACUUCAAAACAGCUUGAAGUCAAUAUCAGCUCUAAGAAAGAUUGUAGAGAGAUCUUCAACCAAGUCUGAGGCUUUUCAUGAACUA